rnacentral:lncRNA from 1 species
CGGCCAGGGGCGCCGUGGGAGUGUGGGCCUCAGGGGCUUGGGCGACUUUUUAAAAAAAAUUUUUAACUCAUUUGAAGAAGGAGGAAGUAAAGGCACAGGAAGUCAGAUAGCUUGCUCUUGGUCCCAGCGAGGUAAAGCGGUCCGCGAGAGCCCAAGUCCUUCACCCCAAAGGUCCCCAGACGACAAGGGGACAGUGCAGACGACACAACCAAGAGUAAAACACCUGUGUAGACACAGAAGGAUUUAAGAACAGGGAGGUGUAAAGGAAGAGAAAGAAGUUCCAGAAGAUCUAA